CACUGGUACGGUCGCUCUCCUGUGUGCGUUCUGAGGUGGACUCGGAGGUCGUAUUCCCGGGUGUAAGUCUUGCCACACUCAGGGCAGAGAUAGUGUUUUUCUCCCCUGUGGGACAUGGUGGGUUUCUGUGGUGCCGAGAUGUGGUGGGAUGUUCCCUCCCUCUGUGGUGCCAGGAGGUGGUGGGUUUGUGGUGCCGGUAGGUUUUGGGUUCCCUCUCUCUGUGGUGCCGGGAGGUGGUGGGUUUGUGGUGCCGGUAGGUUUUGGGUUCCCUCUCUCUGUGGUGCCGGGAGGUGGUGGGUUUGUGGUGCCGGUAGGUUUUGGGUUCCCUCUCUCUGUGGUGCCGGGAGGUGGUGGGUUUGUGGUGCCGGUAGGUUUUGGGUUCCCUCUCUCUGUGGUGCCGGGAGGUGGUGGGUUUGUGGUGCCGGUAGGUUUUGGGUUCCCUCUCUCUGUGGUGCCGGGAGGUGGUGGGUUUGUGGUGCCGGUAGGUUUUGGGUUCCCUCCUCGUCAUGCUGAUGGAGGCAGCGUUGUGGCCUCCCAGCUUUACGUCUGUUGUCCCGAGGUUGUUCAGAGGGAGUCUCCAUGUCAGCCACUAAACUGGGAUCCACUCCUGU